rnacentral:rRNA from 1 species
CCUACUCCUACGGGAGGCAGCAGUAGGGAAUCUUCCACAAUGGGCGCAAGCCUGAUGGAGCAACACCGCGUGAGUGAAGAAGGGUUUCGGCUCGUAAAACUCUGUUGUUGAAGAAGAACGUGCGUGAGAGUAACUGUUCAUGCAGUGACGGUAUUCAACCAGAAAGUCACGGCUAACUACGUGCCAGCAGCCGCGGUAAUUA